GGGGCGGUCGCGCGAGCCGCUCCCGCCGGAAAAUGUGAGGGAAGGGGCCCGGAAAGGUCUUUGGUGGAGUUUAUCUCGCAUGCCAGGGAAUUCCGGAAUGGGACAGGCUGGAAGGGACCACAGGGCUUCCUCUGAGCUCAAAGGGAGCAGAGAUCCCAGCAGCCUUGAGAAGAUCUGGGCAAGUUACUCCAUGGGGAUCCAUCCCUAUUUUUCACAUUGCUGGCUAGGUAUCUGACAGGGAGGACAAUUCCCUGCCGUUUAUCAUUAGCCAGAAAAGUUUUCUGCCCAGCAGAUGCUCCAGAUCCUGAAUUAUCCUGAAGUGCCAAUGUACUCACCCUCUACAGUCAUGUCCUUCAGUACCUUCUGGAGACUGUGUUCUGGAAAAUGGAUAUCCGUUGAGAAUGUUGGGACUUCAGCACUCCAACAUUGACCUGCUUCCCUAGAAUGAAUGCAGAGAUGUGUUUCAUUUCAGAAAAUUGCUGAGUCACAUAGAAUACCUCAUUCUGGGUUGUGAAGCAGACAAAACGCACCUUUUGUCAUCUUCUGUCUGUAUUGGAAGUGCUUUGCUUAUUUUUGGGGUUUAUUAACAGAAAACAGUUUACAAAAGGAGUUGAUGGGGUCUAAGGAAAACUCACUGCAGUGCUUCCAGGAAUUAAAGUAGCAGUAAAAAGAAUUCUGGCCUUAAGUGUUGCUGUAGGAGCUUUGUCAGUGGGAUGGGUUUCAGGGUGUCCCCACUCCCUGGAAACCUCCGUGGGGCAAAUGUCCCUGUCCAGUGUGGGAGAUGAUCACUCAGAAGCCCAGAAGGUGGAAAGCUUGGGCCGAACACGUACAGACACCACCAUCUAGUGGCGCCCGGCUCCAACAGCCUCCAUGCAGCCCGGAAUCGGGACGUCCAGCUGAGUUAGACAUACUACCGCUCCCAAAUGGCUUCUCCUAGGGAGCUGAGGGCAACCACAAAAUCCACGCCCUGCCUCAGGAGGGACCUCCGGCUGCUCCUUCUCUACUCCGGCCGGCACAGCGACACUGCCUUGAUUUUGGGGGGAAAAGUCACUCCUGACUCCCAACAGCUGCUCCUUGUGGUCAUGGGCUUGAUCCUGCAAACAGCCAUGCCCCCUGGCAUCAAGGGCAGUGAACUGGGAUAAAUUGGGGUCUUGCUUCAUCCCACAGCUCCAUGGGAAAUGGAAGUCUCCUGCCUGAAUAGCAUAUGUGGAAUCAUUGGGGUUUCUCCAGUGGAAGCAGCCCCAGGCAGCCUGAGGGGAGCACAUCCUGCUUCUUCAUGUUGCAGCUGGGCUCUGCUCUUGCCUUUGCCUUUCCCUGAGCCCAUCGGCAGACAAAAUGCUCAGCCUGGGGCCAAACAAAGCUGGGCCUAACUCCACUCAAGCCCAGAUUCCACUUGGGUGCUGGAAUCACCCACUGAGCCCCAACCUGGCACAGCUGGGAACACUGAACACUGCCCAAGGUGCCUGAAUAUAGUGUGGGUUGGGAGCACCCGGUAGCACAGGGUGUGUGUAGGGUGUCAGAGACCCAAGCAAACAGGAUGUUGCAUGCUGGGGUUCACUCCUCUUGCAUGGGAGUGAGAUGCUGCCAGUACCAUAGUCUGCAGUGGGCUUUGGCCCACCUUGUGCUCCCCAACUUGUUAUUGACCCUAAGGAGGGAACCAGUAACAGAGCAGGGACCCCAUGGGGGGCCCAUAGCCCUGUUUGCCCUGGUUC